rnacentral:rRNA from 1 species
GCAAGUCGAGCGGUAACAGAGAGUAGCUUGCUACUUUGCUGACGAGCGCGGACGGGUGAGUAAUGCUUGGGAACUUGCCUUUAGGAGGGGGAUAACCACGGGAAACUGUGGCUAAUACCGCAUAAUGUCUACGGACCAAAGCAGGGGAUCUUCGGACCUUGCACCUAGAGAUAGGCCCAAGUGAGAUUAGCUAGUUGGUGGGGUAAAGGCUCACCAAGGCGACGAUCUCUAGCUGUUCUGAGAGGAUGAUCAGCCACACUGGGACUGAGACACGGCCCAGACUCCUACGGGAGGCAGCAGUGGGGAAUAUUGCACAAUGGGGGAAACCCUGAUGCAGCCAUGCCGCGCGUGUGAAGAAGGCCUUCGGGUUGUAAAGCACUUUCAGUGGUGAGGAAGGAUGUAAGAUUAAUACUCUUGCAUAUUGACGUUAGCCACAGAAGA